CGGACGGGUGAGUAAUGUCUGGGAAACUGCCCGAUGGAGGGGGGUAACUACUGGAAACGGUAGCUAAUACCGCAUAACGUCGCAAGACCAAAGAGGGGACCUUCGGGCCUCUUGCCAUCGGAUGUGCCCAGAUGGGAUUAGCUAGUAGGUGGGGUAACGGCUCACCUAGGCGACGAUCCCUAGCUGGUCUGAGAGGAUGACCAGCCACACUGGAACUGAGACACGGUCCAG
rnacentral:rRNA from 1 species